GCUGGGGUGGUCUAGUGGUAAGGCACCGGGAUAGCAGGCCUGGCGGUAUUCAGUGGAUGCCGACCACCUACUCGCAACCGGAGAUCGCUGGUUCGAAUCCAGCCCUCGGCA
rnacentral:tRNA from 1 species